UUGGAGGGCAAGUCUGGUGCCAGCAGCCGCGGUAAUUCCAGCUCCAAUAGCGUAUAUUAAAGUUGUUGCAGUUAAAAAGCUCGUAGUUGAAUUUCGGGGUUAGUAGGUUGGCCAUGCCUCUGGUAUGUACUGGUCUCACUGAUUCCUCCUUCCUGAUGAGCCGUAAUGCCAUUAAUUUGGUGUUGCGGGGAAUUUGGACUGUUACUUUGAAAAAAUUAGAGUGUUUAAAGCAAGCUAACGCUUGAAUACAUUAGCAUGGAAUAAUGAAAUAGGACGUUCGAUCCUAUUUUGUUGGUUUCUAGGAUUGACGUAAUGAUUAAUAGGGAUAGUUGGGGGCAUUAGUAUUCAAUUGUCAGAGGUGAAAUUCUUGGAUUUAUUGAAGACUAACUACUGCGAAAGCAUUUGCCAAGGAUGUUUUCAUUAAUCAAGAACGAAAGUUAGGGGAUCGAAGACGAUCAGAUACCGUCGUAGUCUUAACCAUAAACUAUGCCGACUAGGGAUCGGAUGAUGUUAAUUUUUUAAUGACUCAUUCGGCGCCUUACGGGAAAC
rnacentral:rRNA from 1 species